UACGGAAGGCAGCAGUGGGGAAUAUUGCACAAUGGGCGCAAGCCUGAUGCAGCCAUGCCGCGUGUAUGAAGAAGGCCUUCGGGUUGUAAAGUACUUUCAGUCGUGAGGAAGGUGUUAAGGUUAAUAACCUUAGCAAUUGACGCUAGCGACAGAAGAAGCACCGGCUAACUCCGUGCCAGCAGCCGCGGUAAUACGGAGGGUUGCGAGCGUUAAUCGGAAUUACUGGGCGUAAAAGGGCACGCAGGCGGUUAAUUAAGUUGGAUGUGAAAUCCCCGGGCUUAACCUGGGAAUGGCAUUCAAGACUGGUUAGCUAGAGUCUUGUAGAGGGGGUUAGAAUUCCAUGUGUAGCGGUGAAAUGCGUAGAGAUGUGGAGGAAUACCGGUGGCGAAAGGCGGCCCCCUGGACAAAGACUGACGCUCAUGUGCGAAAGCGUGGGGAGCAAACAGGAUUAGAUACC
rnacentral:rRNA from 1 species